rnacentral:rRNA from 1 species
AUGGCCCAUUACACUAUCAAGCGACGCCGAGUCUUAGGUGUUCUAGCUGUUAUGUUGGCCAUUUUCCGAUGGCGUCGACGACGUAGAAAUUACAGUAUUAGAAUGUCUCGAAGAAAAUAUGGGCCAUUGGUGGAUAGAGACUUGGAGAGGCAAAGAAAGUUGAAUGACCUGUACAAUUCAACAGAUAAAAACUGCAUCAGUCAGCUCCGGAUGAGGAAAGACGUGUUUUGGAAGCUAUCAGCCCAUUUACGUGAUGCCAAACUUGUACGUGAUUCAGUGCAUGUAUCAGUUGAAGAAAAAUUAGCCAUUUUCCUGCAUACGGUUGGCCACAAUUUGAGAAAUAGAGUGGUCGGGUUUUUCCUCAGGAGAUCUAGCUAUACAGUAAGCAAAUGCUUCCAUGAGGUCUUGAAUGCCUUGUGUUUUCUUGCCAAAGAUAUGAUAAAGCUUAGGUCGAUAGAGACCCACCAAAAGAUACUUGAUAGCCCCGGUCGGUUCUACCCCUACUUUAAGGACUGCAUUGGGGCACUUGAUGGAACCCACAUCCCUGCAUUUGUCCCUGAGAACAUAGCUAACAGAUUUCGAGGUCGGAAGUCAUACCCAACCCAAAAUGUCCUUGCAGUUGUGGAUUUUGAUUUGAGGUUUACCUAUGUACUUGCUGGGUGGGAGGGAUCUACUCAUGACUCUGUAGUUCUGAAGGCUGCCCUUAACAGAACAAAUGGGAUUCCAAUGCCAGAAGGCAAAUAUUACUUAGCUGAUGCUGGGUAUGCAGCAAGACCUGUUCAUAAAAUGGAUGAAGCUGAAAGCAAUAUGAGCAGUAAGGGGAAAGAAUGCAAAGGUGACAAGAAUGCAAGGGCAAAAGCUAUAAAUUGGCCUAUAGCUAUAUCUGAGUUUCUUCUUGACUGGUACAUUGAGAAGAAGAUUGAAAUGCCUCCUAAAGCAGUAUUCAAGAAGAUGCAUCACAAUGCUUGCACAGCAGCAAUAAAUAAGAAGUAUGGGUGUUCUUAUAGUGUCGAGCAAGUUCAUCGUCACUUUAGGCGUCAUAAGGAGACAUGGGGGCUAGUGGCUAGGUACAGCAAUGAGAGUGGCAGCGGUUUUGAUGAUGUCAACAAACAAGUGCUGCUCUCUCAAUCUACUCUGGAUACACUAUCGGCCAAUGAUCGUGGAAUUCUGUGUAAACCGAUUCAGUUCUACGACAAGUUGCAAGACCCUUUCUCUGCAGCUGAAACUGACAAUGAUGAUAAGGCAAAAGAUGACAUGAUGAAUGAUAUGUCCACCUAUGAUGAAGCAAAGGGUCCAACAGGUCAUGACUCAGAUAAAUUAGAUACAGAUAGUGAUGAUUGUGAAGUGGUGGCUGCUCUUGCUGCAACUAAUAGUCAAGUUUCAUCAUCCAAUGUUGGUGCUCUAAAGCCUAACAAGAAAACUAAAAAGUCAAAGGCGAGAUCAUCUCAAGCAUCACAGGAUGACACUGAUAUGGAUGUGCUGCUCACAAGUACCUUGAUAGGCAUACGAGAGACCCUUGCAAGUCCAGUACAGACUGUAGCCCCAAAGGACCCAAAUGCUCCUUUAUGGGACAUGCUCAAGAAGAUUCCAUUGCCACCUGAUGAGAGGAUGUCGGUCGGGAUGCAUCUAUGCAAGCCAGAAUUUGCAGUUCAUCGUGGUUUCCUUGUCAGCAUGGGUCAGGAAUGCCUGGAGCGUUGGGUGUACACAUACUUAUCCGACAAUGAUCCUACUGGCAAACGUGGUGGCGAUGGUCCUGCUGGUAACCUUGGCGACGAUGGUCCGGCUGGUGACCUUGGUGAUGAUGCUGCAGUUAACUCCAGUACUUUCUAA